rnacentral:misc_RNA from 1 species
UACGAAGGGGGCGAGCGUUGUUCGGAUUUACUGGGCGUAAAGGGCGCGCAGGCGGUUCUUCAAGUCAGGCGUGAAAGCCCCGGGCUCAACCUGGGAGGUGCGCUUGGGACUGGGGGACUGGAGUUCGGGAGAGGAGCGUGGAAUUCCCAGUGUAGAGGUGAAAUUCGUAGAUAUUGGGAAGAACACCGGUGGCGAAGGCGGCGCUCUGGACCGAGACUGACGCUGAGGCGCGAAAGCGUGGGGAGCAAACAGG